ACAGAGUAACCAAUUUGUAACAAUCGUGUAAAUGCAGGGGUUUACUGGUAGGUGCUCAACUUUGCAGUUUACACUGACUCAGUUUGCAUUCCCGAGGUCAAAAAUGUCAGAAAAUUAUUCACAUAUUGGCCGCUCCUCAGUAUAAGCUGCAUUUCCGGUGUGGGAGCAAAAUUUUGGUCAAAACGGUGCGGCUUGUAUUCAUGAAAUUACCGUAGCUUAAUGCAGCUCCUCCUCAGCUGGAGGGCUCAUCUGACCCACAGCACCCGAAGAUGAUGAUGCCUUGUACAUGUUUUACUCACUUCUCUCCCUGAUGCUGGCUACUCCAGUACUCAGUUUUGGAAAGUGCUGGUGUGGCCCCUUUUUUCUGCAGUCCAGCAGUUAAGAGAUGUUCCAAUUGAACCAUCCAAUGCAUUUCUUCAUCCGUUUCUCUUUUUUGCAUUGUCAGAGUGGGUGAUGAAGAAUGGUGCCUCUGAUGUACAGAAGGUGUUGGUUAUUCCGUGCUGGGGUCUUGAGUCCCCCUUUUGCAGGUAGUCCUAAACGUCAGGGUUUCCAAAAGUGACAUUUCCAAUCCCAUCAUAACUACAGAAAUGCUGGAAGAAAACAGCAUGUAUUAUUCCCCAAACUGGAGACUGGUGAAGAAGGAAAGGUUUCAAGUAAACUUUUGCCCAUUGCUGUCUUUGCUAGUUGAAUUGUGACUAAUUUUGUUUGAGAAGGGCUUUUUCCAGCAGAACAGGCCAAAACCCUGUUAAGUGUCAACAGCAAAUAAUUUCUCAUUGCACUCACUUUCUGAAGAUCUUGGUGUAGGUGUACAGCCCUCCCAUGUCACAAAUGCUGGCUACUUUGGGACAGCUGCAUAAUGAAAAGCAAAUAAAUUGUUUGCAUUUCAGUAGCAGCAAAAAUUCAACAGGUACUCCAAUCAGGCUCCACAUUCUGCUUUGGAGCAGCAGUUUUCACCCAAUCCUGCUAUCUCCUGCCCGUUCCCACAGCUUCACACUCCACACUUUCACACUUCAGAAAAAAAAAACAAAAACAAAAACAAAAACCACUUUUCUGGUACCAAGGCAUCCCUGUGGCAGCAGAGGACUUGGGUCUUCCCCAAUCUUUAGUACUCUGGAUGAGCAUGUGGCUCUGCCACUCUCCCUGUCUAUGUCAGGAAUUAAGCUCAGCUUCACCCUUGCCAGGGUGGGGGAAGAAAAGCUUUAGAGAAUGUGGCAAGGAAGCAGCAAGUUGGAGGACACACACACAGAAAUCACCAUCACCUCCCCAGCUCUCUGCUAACCUGGUGUUUCAGGCCAGCUCCAGCUAUUGCUGCCAUGGGUGUUAGUAUGGGAAGGAGUGGAGGCAGGAAGAUGGAAAGGGAAAUGCCAGCAAGGAGUGAAGUUCAGCUGGCUUGCAGGGUGUUACCCUGUCCAAGGAAGGAAGAGUAGGGGAAUUCCCAACUCAGCAAUAGUCACUGUCAAAUUGAGGUAGAAGGAGAAAAGGGCUGGGCACAGCAAUUUUACCUUUCCAUGGCCAAGAACCAAGUGCUUUCUAAGUCAUCUGUGUCGUAAGUUAUUAGUCACCAUCACUUCCUAGCCACAUAAACUCAUCCCAUUUGAUUUUACACCUCCUAACAGGUUCCCGGGCCACUUGGAUGCAAGCUUCCCAUCAGUCUCACGAGAGGAGAGGCGAUUCAGAAAGCACCACCGCAGCAGGACUUAGGAAGAUGUGGAUGCUUCAGCUUCACUGCAAUUCCCUGAUCUCCAGAGCUGGAUACACAACUCAGAUGAUUCUUUAGCUUGCUGUCCUGUGAAAUGGGUUUUAUUUAUAGGAAGGCAUAGAAAUGCAGCUAAGGCAGCUCUGACAAACUAAAACAAAGAAUUUGUCUCUUUUUUGACAUAUGCAUGAGGCUUUUGAAUACAUCCUGAAGAGUUUGCGACCAUAAACAUUUAUGCAAGAAGAAAAUGAUGGUAGCAGAAACCUACUGAAUUUAUAAAAAAAGUGACUGGUACACUACAUGCUGGGGGAAUGCUCAUGCCAUGGGGCUACCAUUAAUUUAAAAAGAGAAUCCUGACCGUGCUUACAGAGGAAAAUCAGCACUUUUCUGCUGUCUCGCUGUGUUGAGGAACUGCAUCAGGGACAAGCAGUGUUUCAAAGGGGCCUGGCUACCAGAAAAUGGUGGUGAAAAUGAACACAAGUUUUCAGAGCGCUGCAAUCACCUCCAGCUCAAACUCAGCUCAAGAAGGAAGAGAAACAGUGAUCCACUGGCACAGAUAAACUCUGGCUUGCACGCUGUCCUCCAGGAGAGCUAAGUCUGAGAACAAGUCACCACAAACCCACAAGAAGAGCCACGCCCAUUUCAUAACCUGUAAUUUUUAAAUAUAACAUUUUAUUGCUUAGAUGGUUUGAUACAGAACAAGUUUUACUUUUUAUUUUGGAUUUGGAAGUACUGUACAACUGAAAAAAAAGAGGAAUAAAAGUACCAAAACAA